UUUCUAUAUCUUGGCGAUAUUUAUUUUGCCCCCGCAUACUCCCUCUUUUCCUGGUUUUAUUCUCCCCUCAAUCACCCGCUUUUUCUCAAAUAUUAAGCCGCGCGUGUCUAAGUUAUAAGCAACUUUGUACUGCCCAACUGCGCACGGCUCAUUAAAUCAGUUAUAGUUUACUCGAGGGGUUUUGCUACAUGGAUAACUGUGUUACUUCUAGAGCUAAUACCUGCAUUCAAGCCCCUACUUCUGGAAGGGGAGUAUUUAUGAGAUACUCACCCCCUCUGUUGGUGAAUCAUAAUAACUUCUCGCACCCCCUGACCACGAGAAGACCGUGCUUCAUUCACAUAUCUGCCCUAUCAUCUGUCCAUGGUAGGAUAGAGGCCUACCAUGGUUGCUACCGCCAACGGGUAAUAAGGGUUCGAUUCCGGAGAGCGAGCCAGACAACCGCCUACCACAUCCAAGGAAGGUAGCAGGCGCGCAAAUUACCCCCUCCCUCCUCGGGGAGGUAGUGACAAUAUGUAACACUAUACGGCCUUAUACGUCGUAUACUUGGAAUGAGUACAAUUUAAAUCCCUUAACGAGCAACCAUUGGAGGGCAAGUCUGGUGCCAGCACCCGCCCUAAUUCCAGCUCCAAUAGCGUAUAUUAAAGUUGUUGCAGUUAAAAAGCUCGUAUUUGGACCUUGGAUCUGGACAGGCCGUCCGCCUCACGGCGAGAACUGUCUUGCUGGGUCUUUCCUCUUGGGGAACUGAUGUUUCAGCAGCAGGCAACCAUGACCUUUAUUUUGAAAAAAUUAGAGUGUUCAAAAGCAGGCUUGAAGGCGGGAAUAUUUUAGCAGGAUUAAUAAAAUGGGACGUGCGGUUUUUUUUUGUUGGUUUUGGAAAUCGCCUUAAUGUUUAAUAGGAACAGUCGGGGCAUUUAUAUUCACUUGCUGGAGGUGAAAUUCUUGGAUUUUGGGAAAACUACUUUUUGUGAAAGCAUUUGCCAAGGAAGUUUUCAUUAAUCAAGAAGGAAGUUUUGGUUAUCGAAAACGAUUAGAUACCGUGGUAGUCUUAACAGUAAACUAUGCCGAAUAGAAAUCGGUGGAUGUUAUCUUUGUGACUCGAUCGGCACCUUACGAGAAAUCAAAGUUUUUGGGUUCUGGGGGGAGUAUGGUCGCAAGGGUGAAACUUAAAGAAAUUCACGGAAGGGCUCCACCAGGAGUGGAGCCUGCGGCUUAAUUUGAUUCAACGAGGGGAAACUCACCAGGUCCAGACAUAGGAAGGAUUGACAGAUUGAUAGCUCGUUAUUGAUUCUAUGUGUGGUGGUGCAUGACCGUUCUUAGUUGGUGGAGUGAUUUGUCUGGUUAAUUCCGACACCGAACGAGACGGUAACGUGAAUAAAUAGCCCCAUCGACUAUGGUUGGUGGCGGGGUUGUUAGAGGGACUAUUGGCUUCCAGCCAAUGCAAGUUUGUGGCAAUAACAGGUCUGUGAUGCCAUUAGAUCUUCUGGUCCGCGCGCGCGGUUCGGUGACAGAUCCAAAGAGUGCUUUCCUUGUCCGGAAGGACGGGGUAAUAGAAUGUAUCUUGGUCCUCCAGGGGAUGGAGCAUUGCUAUUAUAAAUCCUCCCCGAGGAAGUAGUAGUGAGUGGGAGUCAUCAGCUAGUGUUGAAAACGUCCCUGUCCUUCGUGCAGCCAAAACCCCUCGAAUAUUAACCAUUUGAUGAAUUAAUGUGCUCCUUGCGAAUUGGCAAGCUAUAUACGGGUCAUACAGUAGCACACCCGUGGUUUAUUAUGUGAGACAAGUCCUUUUAGAGGGGGGAGAAUUCGUCACGAAAGGGGGGAUUUUUUUACACGCGCGGGUCUCUCCCUGUGGAGUGUAUCUGUGUGUU
rnacentral:rRNA from 1 species